GCAGAACAAACCAGGCGUUUACACACGCAUCACCGCUGCCCUGCCCUGGAUACACCAGCAGCUGGAGAGGGAAGAGGCUCAGAGCGGUUAACCAACCUGAAGAUGGGGGCUGUGCAAACAGCAGAGAUCAUCCCCAUGACAACCUUAUGAGCCAUUUCGGGAAUGCACCCCUAAAAACCACCUGGAUGGACUGGUAGAUUAGGUGUUUAAUGGGCCACCACCUCUCCAGUCCUUGAGGAAAAUAAAUGCUGUAUUUAAAUAUGUAUUUAUAUUAAUAUUGGAUUUAUGUAUAAAUAAAGAAAGAAAAGAUGUA